GACAGAGGGUGCAAACGUUGCUCGGAAUUACUGGGCGUAAAGCGCGUGUAGGCUGACCGGAAAGUCGGGCGUGAAAUCCCUGAGCUCAACUCAGGAACUGCACUCGAAACUCCCGGUCUAGAGUGGUGGAGAGGGAAGUGGAAUUCCUGGUGUAGAGGUGAAAUUCGUAGAUAUCAGGAGGAACACCAGUGGCGAAGGCGGCUUCCUGGACACCAACUGACGCUGAGACGCGAAAGCGUGGGGAGCGAACAGG
rnacentral:rRNA from 1 species